AAUAUGCGAUAAAUUCGUAUGAAUUGCAGAAUCAAGCGUAUUAUCAAACCUUUGAACGCAACAUGCGUGCUGGGUCUUAACUCAAGCACGUCCACGGUUCAGUGCCGAUAACUGUGUUGGGGACAAAUUAGGCCCUUAAAUACUUGGUUUCGUACCAAUCUUAUCAUUUUCAAGGCCUGAACUGUGGUCGACCACCCGCUGAACUUAA
rnacentral:misc_RNA from 1 species